GCCUAUGGCCAUGCCACCCUGAACACACCCGAUCCCGUCUGAUCUCGGAAGCUAAGCAGGGUCAGAUCUGGUUAGUACUUGGAUGGGAGACCACCUGGGAAGACCAGGUGCUGUAGGCA
rnacentral:rRNA from 1 species